UAUGAUGCAGUACCUAAACCAUUGGUUUGCCAGGCUUUUGAUGCCGAACUUAUCCAUAACAUCACUUGCAUAACUAAACCAUUUAAUCAGACAACGGUUUUCCGAACCAUCGACAUAUAUUUUCAGCCGGGUGUUGUUAUAAAAACGUUUCAUAUGGAAAUUCAGUUGUUCCGAAAAUUGGGAGCCAACUACAAACCGUUCAUAUUCAAAACGGAUCAAGACAUGUGUAUGUUCAUCAAUGGGAUCAAUUCAAGGGAAGCAACAAUCCUGAAACAUUUCAUUGAUAUCGACACAAUCCGCAAAAGUGGAAAUUAUUACGAUCCUUGUCCACUAACGGGAAGAAGAUAUAUGAUGGAUGUUAAAAACGACUACAGCAAAUUGCCGGAUGUUGUUCAACGAGGAGAUUACCGGCUUAAUGCGUCCAGCUAUACGAUUAUUGAUGAUGUGAAACGAUAUCUAUUUUUAUUGCAAACGAAUGUUGAGGUUCGGACAAAACUUAAAAAGAAAACGAAAAAGUAGAAAUGGAUUUGGUAAGUCAAAUAUU